rnacentral:tRNA from 1 species
GCCACCUUAGCACAGUGGUAGUGCACCGCUUUCGUAAAGCGGGGGUCCAGGGUUCAAAUCCCUGAGGUGGCUC